rnacentral:rRNA from 1 species
GGUUAAGCGACUAAGCGUACACGGUGGAUGCCCUGGCAGUCAGAGGCGAUGAAGGACGUGCUAAUCUGCGAAAAGCGCCGGCGAGGUGAUAUGAACCUUUGACCCGGCGAUGUCCGAAUGGGGAAACCCAGUGCAAUCCGUUGCACUAUCGUUAACUGAAUACAUAGGUUAACGAGGCGAACCGGGGGAACUGAAACAUCUAAGUACCCCGAGGAAAAGAAAUCAACCGAGAUUCCCCCAGUAGCGGCGAGCGAACGGGGAGCAGCCCGGAGUCUGAAUCAGCUUGUGUGUUAGUGGAACGGUCUGGAAAGUCCGACGGUACAGGGUGAUAGUCCCGUACACGAAAGCACACUUGCUGUGAACUCGAAGAGUAGGGCGGGACACGUGGUAUCCUGUCUGAAUAUGGGGGGACCAUCCUCCAAGGCUAAAUACUCCUGACUGACCGAUAGUGAACCAGUACCGUGAGGGAAAGGCGAAAAGAACCCCGGCGAGGGGAGUGAAAAAGAACCUGAAACCGUGUACGUACAAGCAGUGGGAGCCUCUUUAUGGGGUGACUGCGUACCUUUUGUAUAAUGGGUCAGCGACUUAUAUUCUGUAGCAAGGUUAACCGUAUAGGGGAGCCGAAGGGAAACCGAGUCUUAACUGGGCGUUAAGUUGCAGGGUAUAGACCCGAAACCCGGUGAUCUAGCCAUGGGCAGGUUGAAGGUUGGGUAACACUAACUGGAGGACCGAACCGACUAAUGUUGAAAAAUUAGCGGAUGACCUGUGGCUGGGGGUGAAAGGCCAAUCAAACCGGGAGAUAGCUGGUUCUCCCCGAAAGCUAUUUAGGUAGCGCCUCGUGAACUCAUCUUCGGGGGUAGAGCACUGUUUCGGCUAGGGGGCCAUCCCGGCUUACCAACCCGAUGCAAACUACGAAUACCGAAGAAUGUUAUCACGGGAGACACACGGCGGGUGCUAACGUCCGUCGUGAAGAGGGAAACAACCCAGACCGCCAGCUAAGGUCCCAAAGUCAUGGUUAAGUGGGAAACGAUGUGGGAAGGCACAGACAGCCAGGAUGUUGGCUUAGAAGCAGCCAUCAUUUAAAGAAAGCGUAAUAGCUCACUGGUCGAGUCGGCCUGCGCGGAAGAUGUAACGGGGCUAAACCAUGCACCGAAGCUGCGGCAGCGACGCUUAGGCGUUGUUGGGUAGGGGAGCGUUCUGUAAGCCGUCGAAGGUGUCCUGUGAGGGGUGCUGGAGGUAUCAGAAGUGCGAAUGCUGACAUAAGUAACGAUAAAGCGGGUGAAAAGCCCGCUCGCCGGAAGACCAAGGGUUCCUGUCCAACGUUAAUCGGGGCAGGGUGAGUCGACCCCUAAGGCGAGGCCGAAAGGCGUAGUCGAUGGGAAACAGGUUAAUAUUCCUGUACUUGGUGUUACUGCGAAGGGGGACGGAGAAGGCUAUGUCAGCCGGGCGACGGUUGUCCCGGUUUAAGCAUGUAGGCGGAGGUUCCAGGUAAAUCCGGUACCUUGUUAACGCUGAGGUGUGAUGACGAGGCACUACGGUGCUGAAGUGAUAAAUGCCCUGCUUCCAGGAAAAGCCUCUAAGCAUCAGGUAACACGAAAUCGUACCCCAAACCGACACAGGUGGUCAGGUAGAGAAUACCAAGGCGCUUGAGAGAACUCGGGUGAAGGAACUAGGCAAAAUGGUGCCGUAACUUCGGGAGAAGGCACGCUGAUAUGUAGGUGAAGUCCCUGCGGACGGAGCUGAAAUCAGUCGAAGAUACCAGCUGGCUGCAACUGUUUAUUAAAAACACAGCACUGUGCAAACACGAAAGUGGACGUAUACGGUGUGACGCCUGCCCGGUGCCGGAAGGUUAAUUGAUGGGGUUAGCGGCAACGCGAAGCUCUUGAUCGAAGCCCCGGUAAACGGCGGCCGUAACUAUAACGGUCCUAAGGUAGCGAAAUUCCUUGUCGGGUAAGUUCCGACCUGCACGAAUGGCGUAAUGAUGGCCAGGCUGUCUCCACCCGAGACUCAGUGAAAUUGAACUCGCUGUGAAGAUGCAGUGUACCCGCGGCAAGACGGAAAGACCCCGUGAACCUUUACUAUAGCUUGACACUGAACACUGGUCCUUGAUGUGUAGGAUAGGUGGGAGGCUUUGAAGCGUGGACGCCAGUCUGCGUGGAGCCAACCUUGAAAUACCACCCUUUAAUGGCUGGUGUUCUAACGUAGACCCGUAAUCCGGGUUGCGGACAGUGUCUGGUGGGUAGUUUGACUGGGGCGGUCUCCUCCCAAAGAGUAACGGAGGAGCACGAAGGUUGGCUAAUCCUGGUCGGACAUCAGGAGGUUAGUGCAAUGGCAUAAGCCAGCUUGACUGCGAGCGUGACGGCGCGAGCAGGUGCGAAAGCAGGUCAUAGUGAUCCGGUGGUUCUGAAUGGAAGGGCCAUCGCUCAACGGAUAAAAGGUACUCCGGGGAUAACAGGCUGAUACCGCCCAAGAGUUCAUAUCGACGGCGGUGUUUGGCACCUCGAUGUCGGCUCAUCACAUCCUGGGGCUGAAGUAGGUCCCAAGGGUAUGGCUGUUCGCCAUUUAAAGUGGUACGCGAGCUGGGUUUAGAACGUCGUGAGACAGUUCGGUCCCUAUCUGCCGUGGGCGCUGGAGAAUUGAGGGGGCUGCUCCUAGUACGAGAGGACCGGAGUGGACGCAUCACUGGUGUUCGGGUUGUCAUGCCAAUGGCACUGCCCGGUAGCUAAAUGCGGAAGAGAUAAGUGCUGAAAGCAUCUAAGCACGAAACUUGCCCCGAGAUGAGUUCUCCCUGAGACUUUAAGUCUCCUGAAGGAACGUUGAAGACGACGACGUUGAUAGGUCGGGUGUGUAAGCGCAGCGAUGCGUUGAGCUAACCGAUACUAAUGAACCGUGAGGCUUAACCUU